ACUUCAGCUUAAGGGAAAAGCUGCACGUUGAUUGGGUUUUGGAGAAAAAGAUUUGAACGUCCAGCUGUGAAUUGAUCUUGUGUUUUGUCUUCCAGGUUCAUUCCCAUUGUGAUCUGCAAAUGGCAAAUCAGGGUUGCUCUUUGUUAAAACCAAAAGCGCUCUCAGAAUGUUGAUGGAGGUGAUGAUUGCAGGGGCGAUGCUUCUGAAGAAUAGCUCCCCCAUCUUCCCCAGGGCCUGGGCAGAGAGAGGUGGAGCUCGGAGUCCCCCCAGUCCUCCCGCGGGUGCUGGCGUCUGCAGCGCCAUCGGGACGGGAUCCACGGCGCAGCUCCCUCCUCCAGAGGCCGAAGGCUCAGCCUCCAGUUUCGUGCAGGGUGAUCACCUUUCCAAGGCAAUACAAGCACUUCCCAAGAGCAGCUGGUGAAGAUGGCGCAGAAGCAAGGACAAGGGUGCAGUGAAAAGUUUGGUGCAUCGAUCCAGCUUCCGGACAUGGUAGGGAAGACACACCGUUUGCUAAAACACCAAACACGGUACUUUUCAUUCUUUGUGUUUUUCUGUGCCCCCAUUGUGAUCACCCCUGGAAGUAUUAUUUUCGAAAAACAUAUCUAGGAGAGAAAUCGUAACCUGCUUUGCGUCCUUCUGCCUGGAAGGGUUGUGACACAGGGAAGUGAGGAAGGGGCUGGCCGGGGUCAGCCUCUGCUGAGCCUCAGCUCUGGCUGCUGCUCCUGCUUCCCGGGUACACCCAAAAGCUGUCAUGAUCAAAAGAGCAGGCAGCCCUUCUGUCCUGAGUCACAGGGGGCCAUUUCUUCCUGAGUGACUCAAGAUGGGAAAUCAUUCUUGGAGCUUCAAAAGAAAAAAAAAAAAACCUCACGCAAUCAUUUGUAAGUGUGUAUAUAUACACAUAGAUUUCCUUCAAUGAAGAAGAAAAUCUUAGAAAUAUCAUGUCACGUCUGGCUUCCUAGAGAAAAUCCUUAUCUCUGGGCUUCUGAAAUCAAAUGUCUGUGCAUUUAUAGAGCAUUUCCCCUCUUUUUAUGCCUCCCACAGUGAUCUUCUACCCUGCCCCAUGGCAAGAAGAGUUUGGUGAUUUUGCUGCUCUGCUCUCUCAAGGGUGUUGCAGGCUGCGUAGCAGGGAGUGAAGCCCUUGUCGCUGCUCAUCAGACACUUUCCUACAGAAUUCUCCCUGCAGUGAUAAAAUUAGACUUGUGUUAGUGAGCUGCCAAGUAGAGCAGGUAACAUUGGACAAGAAUGGUUUCUGAGCUGCUGUUCACUAGCACGUGUUUCCCCUUUCCAGCGCGGUGCUGCCGCCCAAGAAAGGAUUUUUGUGGGUCAGCCAGAUGUGCUCCUGCCUCCCACUGAGGCUCUGAGAUGGAGCCGAGUUUGCAUUCCAGUUUAUUGCAACAGAGGGUCACGGGAAAUUUCCUCAGCUAGCUCAGGCACAGAGCCAUGGAAGCAAGACAGCACGAAGACUGAACGUGUAAGAAGAUGUGGGGUGCAAUGGAGAACCUGGCAGGAGCAUCCGACGCACACGUGCACGAGUUUUGCUUUUUGCUUGGAUUGAAACUCAAAAGUUGUAAGGAAUUUGGGAAUGAGAUGGGACGUUUCAGAAGAAGAGGAAGGAGGAGAAGAAGUUGUUGUUACAGUGUUACAGUCCUGGCAAAAUCCUUUGUUCUAGCUAAUAAAAGAAGUUAGUUAAAAAAAAAAAAUUAAAAAAAAAAAAAAAAGUG